GCCUACGGGAGGCAGCAGUGGGGAAUAUUGCACAAUGGGGGAAACCCUGAUGCAGCAACGCCGCGUGAGUGAAGAAGGUUUUCGGAUUGUAAAGCUCUGUUAGCAGGGAAGAAAGGAAUGACGGUACCUGACUAAGAAGCCCCGGCUAACUACGUGCCAGCAGCCGCGGUAAUACGUAGGGGGCAAGCGUUAUCCGGAUUUACUGGGUGUAAAGGGAGCGUAGACGGUUACGCAAGUCUGGAGUGAAAGGCGGGGGCCCAACCCCCGGACUGCUUUGGAAACUGUAUAACUGGAGUGCCGGAGAG
rnacentral:rRNA from 1 species